AUCCUGAACGGAGCACUGCCGCGUGAGAUGUAGAAGGUCUUACGGAUCGUGAACUUCUGUUUGUUAGAGAAGAAACGUGUGAGAGUAACUGUUCAUUCCAUGACCGUAUCUAACCGCCAAGUCACGGCUAAUAACGUGCCAGCAGCCGCGGUAAU
rnacentral:rRNA from 1 species